rnacentral:rRNA from 1 species
AUGGCAGAGUCCAUGUCCGACGCCCUGUCUUCCCCAUAUCCCGCAAGCUCACUGGCCGGCCAUGAGCACCGGGAAGUGAAGCUGCGGAAGGGGGAGAAUAUGAGUAGCCUUCCUGGGACCCAAGCCAUGGCGGCAUCCCAUGUCCUACUCUUCCUUGCCGGAGUCCGCCUUGUUGACGGCGCCGGACAUCGAUAUGCCGGCCUCGGGGUCAUGGCGGCUGGGUGUGAACCGCGGAGUCUAUGGUCCAUCUCAGGGGUGUAUCUAUGGUCCAUCUCAUGCCCAUCUCGUGCUUGGUUGCAAGAUGAACAGACAUAUGAAGAGCCAUAG